CAGGCCUAACACAUGCAAGUCVAGGGGUAGAAAUAGCUNGCUAUUUUGAGACCGGVGCACGGGCUGCGUAACGMGUAUGCAACCUACCUUDCACAGGGGGAUAGCCCAGAGAAAUUUGGAUUAAUACMCCAUGGUAUUUUUGGAUGGCAUCAUCCGAUCAUUAAAGUUCCAACGGUGAAAGAUGGGCAUGCGUCCCAUUAGCUAGUUGGUGUGGUAACGGCACACCAAGGCUACGAUGGGUAGGGGUCCUGAGAGGGAGAUCCCCCACACUGGUACUGAGACACGGACCAGACUCCUACGGGAGGCAGCAGUGAGGAAUAUUGGUCAAUGGGCGCAAGCUGAAACCAGCCAUGCCGCGUGCAGGAUGAAGCAUCUAUGGUGUGUAAACUGCUUUUGUACGGGAAGAAACAACGCUUCGUGAAGCGUCUUGACGGUACCGUAAGAAUAAGGAUCGGCUAACUCCGUGCCAGCAGCCGCGGUAAUACGGAGGAUCCAAGCGUUAUCCGGAAUCAUUGGGUUUAAAGGGUCCGUAGCGGGGCCUGUAAGUCAGUGGUGAAAUCUCCCGGCUCAACCGGGAAAUUGCCAUUGAUACUGCAGGCCUUGAAUUACCAGGAAGUAACUAGAAUAUGUAGUGUAGCGGUGAAAUGCUUAGAGAUUACAUGGAAUACCGAUUGCGAAGCAGGUUACUACUGGUGGAUUGACGCUGAUGGACGAAAGCGUGGGUAGCGAACAGGAUUAGAUACCCUGGUAGUCCACGCCGUAAACGAUGGAUACUAGCUGUUGGGGAGUAAUUUCAGUGGCUAAGCGAAAGUGAUAAGUAUCCCACCCUGGGGAGUACGAACGCAAGUUUGAAACUCAAAGGAAUUGACCGGGGGCC
rnacentral:rRNA from 1 species